ACCGGCAGCUCAAGUGGUGGCCAUUUUUAUUGGGCCUAAAGCGUUCGUAGCCGGUUUGAUAAGUCUCUGGUGAAAUCCCGCAGCUUAACUGUGGGACUUGCUGGAGAUACUAUUAGUCUUGAGGUCGGGAGAGGUGACGGGUAUUCCUAGGGUAGGGGUGAAAUCCUCUAAGAUUGGGAGGAAUACCGAAGGCGAAGGCGGCCAACUGGAACGUCAUUGACGCUAAGUAGCGAAAGUCAGGGGCGCGAACAG
rnacentral:rRNA from 1 species